AUGCUGAGGCAAGGAAUGUACAGAGGCCACUACAUUCUUGAUGCCCUGAGAUUCCAAGCCGCCCUUGAAGAUGAGGAGGAGGUGAGCCACUCACUGACUGCUGUUUUGCUGUCUGAAUCCAGUUGUCUGGCCAAACGGCUUCGUUUCUCCGGUGGUGCCCGUGGGGGUGGUAGCGGCAGCAACAGAGAUGCAGCAGCACUGUUAAUGUCUGGUGCAAACAACAAGAUACGAGAAGAGCUGCAACGGGUGGUUUCUUCUCUUGAAGACACCAUGGAUGCAGGUAUGAAGGAGUUCCUUCUCUUCUUGGAGUCGUAUCCUCGGGUACUCCGCCAACCACACGCCGCAUAUGUGCUCUUGGAGAACUGCAUGUUUGGUCGCCAAACUGAACGGGAACAGGUCCUGGAUUUCUUGCUCCGUCCCGGCGCUACUCCAAUGUUGGCCAUACUUCCGAUCGUCGGUCCUUUAGGGGCAGGAAAAAGCACUCUUGUGGAGCAUGUCUGUAGGGAUGACAGUGUGCGUGGUCGCUUCUCGACGAUCCUCUUCCUUCCAGAAGGCAGCCUUGAGGAUGAAGGAGUGACCGACUUGAGAGGGGGCAGCAACUUCAAAGUCAGACAUCAGAAUCACGCCACUCAGUCUCACAACAGGUUUCUGAUCAUUGUCGAAACCGCCAAGGACAUGAACGAGGGAGCAUGGAGAAGUCUGAAAUCGUGCGUCGCCCACAUGGCACCUUGCGGUGGGAGUAAAAUCAUAGUCACCGGUCGGUCAAACAGAAUAGUGGAUCUUGGAACGACGGAAGCGCUUUCACUGGGCCGUGUCCCUCGAGAAGCCUAUUGGUAUCUCUUCAAGUCGCUCGCUUUCGGAAGCGCGAACCCUGAUGAGCACCGAAGCAUGGCAGCGAUGGCCAUGGAGAUCGCUUCGGAGCAUAGACAGUGUUUGCUGAGCGCGCAUAUGGUUGCCGGGUUACUGCGAGAUAACUUCAGCCCCAGAUUCUGGCGUGCGAUCCUUGGGUUGGGUGCGUGA
rnacentral:rRNA from 1 species